UACGGGGGGGGCAAGCGUUGUUCGGAAUUACUGGGCGUAAAGGGUCUGUAGGUGGCUUGCUAAGUCAGACGUGAAAUCCCUCAGCUUAACUGGGGAACUGCGUCUGAGACUGGAUGGCUUGAGUGCAGGAGAGGAACGCGGAAUUCCAGGUGUAGCGGUGAAAUGCGUAGAUAUCUGGAGGAACACCGGUGGCGAAGGCGGCGUUCUGGACUGCAACUGACACUGAGGAACGAAAGCCAGGGGAGCAAACGGG
rnacentral:rRNA from 1 species